UUUGGGAAAUGAUGAUAAAACAGCUUACAUAAGCUCGGUGGUCUGCGCUAUGCUGAACUUUUAUUUGCACGUCAGUCUGAUCCCAAA